AAUAAAGUGAUGCAGGUAAUAAACAGAAAGUUGUUUCCUGCCCACAGAUUUUUUUUUUUUUAAAGUAUGCUUCUUCUUGUGCAGUUAAAUGACUUCUUUUCUUUAGAGAAAUACAUGAUAGACAUUCACGGUAGGUAUUACUGUUCCCACUUUAAAGAUGAAGCAACUGAUGUUCACAGGCCUUGAGUUUGUUGUGUAAAUUCAUUUAGAUAAUCAAAUAGAGAGUACAAAUCAGACCUUUCUGACCCCAGAAUUCAUGUGAAAUGGUGACUUUUCUCUAUUUCCAGAAUCUGCGGAUCUCUUCAGCCUCCUGCGUCUCUUGCUUUCCAGGUGUUUCUCUAUGGUGUGCCUCCCCAGAAGCCUCCUCAGGCAGAGGAGCUGUACUCUCCUUCUUCCAAGGCCCCAGUUAUCCAUCAUGAGAUGGGAACCUGCUUUGGACACCUGCUCUUGCUCCAGAGGCUGGCCCUGGCUAUCUGGGGUGGGCCCGCCUGGGCUGUGAUGCCCCUACAGUGGCCUGAACUCAAGAAGUGUUCGUUUUCUUCAGUCCAGAAGAAGGCUCCCAAGAGCUUUUUUUUUUGUUGUUCUGGUGAUGGGGGAGGCAGUUGGGUGAAGAGAGAGCCAGGGGUUAAGAAGAUUCCUGCCCCCAUUCCAGAGAAGCAGGAGAAUUAGCCUAGGGUGAAAGUGAUGGGGGAAUAAGUACCGGGGAUCACCUGUACCUCAGGCUCUGCUAGGUCUUCUAUGAUGCUUUGUGACACAGGGGCCCAUUGGAGUCAGGACCAGUGGUGUGCAGGGCAGUGGGUGUUUGUCAAAGUACCUCCUCAAGAUGAUCACUCAAUAAAGCGAUGCUUCUUCAUCUCAAGGAGAUGUGCAAGGAGAAGUCAGAUGAAGUUGGAUGUGCCUUUGAUGUGAAACUGUAGAGGGACAUGCUGUGGAGGUCACCCAGACAGGACCCUGAAAGACCUUGUUCUCUUGGUGAUUUCCUUUGUUU
rnacentral:lncRNA from 1 species